UCGAUGCGGAUAUACUGUGUCUUUGCGUAUGGGCGACCCAAUAUAUUCAGCCGAUUUUUACGCGACCUUUUUGAAAAUAAUUUUCAACGAGGGGGGGCUACCCUUUCUGUACAACCCAUUUAGUGGUCCGAUUACCAUAACUAAAAGAAACCAUUAUUGCCUUCAAUUUGUUUUUAAAGUUAUAUAUACGACUAAACGUGUAAUGUAAUAUUGUGUAGUAUUGCGUGAAGUUCACAAUAUUGAUAAUUGACAUCAAAACAUAUGCUGGAACAACGACAUCAAAUUUAAUCGCAUCCGUGAAUGUUAACCGAUAAAGUGUA